rnacentral:rRNA from 1 species
UACGUAGGGGGCAAGCGUUGUCCGGAAUCAUUGGGCGUAAAGAGCGUGUAGGCGGCCAGAUAAGUCCGCUGUGAAAUCUCGAGGCUCAACUUCGAGCUGUCGGUGGAAACUGUCUGGCUAGAGUCCGGAAGAGGAGAAUGGAAUUCCUGGUGUAGCGGUGAAAUGCGCAGAUAUCAGGAAGAACACCCGUGGCGAAGGCGGUUCUCUGGGACGGUACUGGCGCUGAGACGCGAAAGCGUGGGGAGCGAACAGG